CCGGCGCACCGGGAGUUCCCGUGAUGCCCCGGGGCCAGCCAAUGGAGGCGGCUCCUCCCCGCCCGCGCUCCCGGCCCCCGCCCGCGCUUUAGAGUCCUCAGCGGCCACUUCUGAGUUGGAUAUAUCUAUUGAGAAGAUAGAAGACUUACUUUCAUCAUCUGAAUCAAAUCCAAAGAGUGUCUGACAUUUCUUUUGUGCAAGAUCACAAAACUGAGACUCAGAGAGGUCAAAUUACUUGCCCAAGAACAAAGAAUUUAGGCUGGGAAGCUUCAGGACAAGAAGCCAACAGGUUUGGUGUCUGAUGAGACCAUCCUCUUCUUUCAAAAUGAUGAGUGGAAGAAGGUUGGAACCAUAUGUAACAAAAGGCAGAAGAACCAAGAAGCAAAAGGGGGGCAAACCUAUCCUUUUAAAACAUCAUUAAUCCCAUGAUCUCAUGCCUUAAUCACCUCUCAAAAAGUCUGCCUCUUCAUGAAUUUUAGUUAGACAAACAUUUAUACUAAAGCAAAGGAUUUGUAAAAAAGACAUUCAUCU